rnacentral:rRNA from 1 species
UACGGGGGGGGGCAAGCGUUGUUCGGAAUUACUGGGCGUAAAGGGCUCGUAGGCGGCCAACUAAGUCAUACGUGAAAUCCCUCGGCUUAACCGGGGAACUGCGUCUGAUACUGGAUGGCUUGAGUUCGGGAGAGGGAUGCGGAAUUCCAGGUGUAGCGGUGAAAUGCGUAGAUAUCUGGAGGAACACCGGUGGCGAAGGCGGCAUCCUGGACCGA